rnacentral:miRNA from 1 species
GAAAGGCAAUAAUUUGAAUGUUGGUGAUGUAUGUGUCUUUGUGUUGAUUGAUGACACAUACAUCACCAACAUUCAAAUUAUUG